rnacentral:rRNA from 1 species
UGGGGAAUUUUGGACAAUGGGCGAAAGCCUGACCCAGCAACGCCGCGUGAAGGAUGAAGUAUUUCGGUAUGUAAACUUCGAAAGAAUAGGAAGAAUAAAUGACGGUACUAUUUAUAAGGUCCGGCUAACUACGUGCCAGCAGCCGCGGUAAUACGUAGGGACCAAGCGUUGUUCGGAUUUACUGGGCGUAAAGGGCGCGUAGGCGGCAAUUCAAGUCAUCUGUGAAAUCUCCGGGCUUAACUCGGAACGGUCAACUGAUACUGUCAAACUAGAGUACAGAAGGGGCAAUCGGAAUUCUUGGUGUAGCGGUGAAAUGCGUAGAUAUCAAGAGGAACACCUGAGGCGAAGGCGGGUUGCUGGGCUGAUACUGACGCUGAAGCGCGAAAGCUAGGGUAGCAAACGGGAUUAGAUACCCAAGUAGUCCCUGAGCGGGCUGGCAAGGCGCAU